rnacentral:rRNA from 1 species
GGGGAAUUUUCCGCAAUGGGCGAAAGCCUGACGGAGCAAUACCGCGUGAGGGAGGAAGGCUCUUGGGUCGUAAACCUCUUUUCUCAGGGAAGAACACAAUGACGGUACCUGAGGAAUAAGCAUCGGCUAACUCCGUGCCAGCAGCCGCGGUAAUACGGAGGAUGCAAGCGUUAUCCGGAAUGAUUGGGCGUAAAGCGUCCGCAGGUGGCAAUGUAAGUCUGCUGUUAAAGAGUGAGGCUCAACCUCAUAAGAGCAGUGGAAACUACAUAGCUAGAGUACGUUCGGGGCAGAGGGAAUUCCUGGUGUAGCGGUGAAAUGCGUAGAGAUCAGGAAGAACACCGGUGGCGAAGGCGCUCUGCUAGGCCGUAACUGACACUGAGGGACGAAAGCUAGGGGAGCGAAUGGGAUUAGAUACCCCAGUAGUC